AACGCACAUUGCGCCCUCUGGUAUUCCGGGGGGCAUGCCUGUUCGAGCGUCAUUACAACCCUCAAGCUCUGCUUGGUAUUGGGUGUCACCGUUUCGGUGCACCCUAAAAUCAGUGGCGGUGUCACCUGGCUCCUAGCGUAGUAAUACUUCUCGCUAUAGAGCUUAGGUGUAUGCUUGCCAUAAACCCACUCUCAAGGUUGACCUCGGAUCAGGUAGGGAUACCCGCUGAACUUAA
rnacentral:misc_RNA from 1 species